UCAGACGGGCCGGAGACGCUUCUGGAAGCACCAGCGCUAUGGCUGCCCAGGGAGAGCCCCAAGUCCAGUUCAAACUGGUGCUGGUUGGCGACGGUGGCACCGGGAAGACGACGUUCGUGAAGCGUCACCUGACGGGUGAAUUCGAGAAGAAGUAUGUAGCCACCUUGGGCGUGGAGGUCCACCCGCUCGUGUUCCACACGAACAGGGGACCCAUCAAGUUCAACGUGUGGGACACUGCCGGCCAGGAGAAGUUCGGCGGGCUGCGGGACGGCUACUACAUCCAGGCCCAGUGUGCCAUUAUAAUGUUUGAUGUCACAUCAAGGGUUACUUACAAGAAUGUGCCUAACUGGCAUAGAGAUCUGGUACGAGUGUGUGAGAACAUCCCUAUUGUGCUGUGUGGCAACAAAGUGGACAUUAAGGACAGGAAAGUUAAGGCAAAAUCUCUUGUCUUCCACCGAAAGAAGAAUCUUCAGUACUAUGACAUUUCUGCCAAAAGUAACUACAACUUUGAAAAGCCCUCCCUGUGGCUUGCUAGAAAACUAAUUGGGAGACCCUAACUUGGAGUUUGUCGCCAUGCCCGCUCUUGCCCCACCAGAGGUUGUCAUGGACCCAGCUUUGGCAGCACAGAACGAGCAUGAUCUAGAGGUUGCUCAGACAACUGCUCUCCCGGAUGAAGAUGAUGACCUGUGAGAACGUGCAGCUGGAGCCCAGCGUCAGAAGUCUAGUUUUAUAGGCAACUGUCCUGUGAUGUCAGUGGUGCAGCGUGUUUGCCACUUUAUUAUAUAGCUGAGCAGAACAUGUGCUUAAUCUUUGGGAUGCUGAAGGAGAUGAAUGGGCUUCGGAGUGAAUGUGGCAGUUUAAAAAGUACUUUCAUUUUUUGGACCUGCAUAUUUAGCUGUUUUGGAACGCAGUUGUUUCCUUCCUGAGUUUCAGAUACGAGACUGCUAUAGUCCCAUCACAAUAUCAAGUGGUGAAAUCUCGUUUGUCACUGUCAUUCCCAUUCCUUUUCGUUUAGAAUCAGAAUAAAGUUGUAUUUCAAAUA